rnacentral:rRNA from 1 species
CUUAACACAUGCAAGUCGAGGGGCAGCAUGGUCUUAGCUUGCUAAGGCCGAUGGCGACCGGCGCACGGGUGAGUAACACGUAUCCAACCUGCCGUCUACUCUUGGACAGCCUUCUGAAAGGAAGAUUAAUACAAGAUGGCAUCAUGAGUCCGCAUGUUCACAUGAUUAAAGGUAUUCCGGUAGACGAUGGGGAUGCGUUCCAUUAGAUAGUAGGCGGGGUAACGGCCCACCUAGUCUUCGAUGGAUAGGGGUUCUGAGAGGAAGGUCCCCCACAUUGGAACUGAGACACGGUCCAAACUCCUACGGGAGGCAGCAGUGAGGAAUAUUGGUCAAUGGGCGAGAGCCUGAACCAGCCAAGUAGCGUGAAGGAUGACUGCCCUAUGGGUUGUAAACUUCUUUUAUAAAGGAAUAAAGUCGGGUAUGGAUACCCGUUUGCAUGUACUUUAUGAAUAAGGAUCGGCUAACUCCGUGCCAGCAGCCGCGGUAAUACGGAGGAUCCGAGCGUUAUCCGGAUUUAUUGGGUUUAAAGGGAGCGUAGAUGGAUGUUUAAGUCAGUUGUGAAAGUUUGCGGCUCAACCGUAAAAUUGCAGUUGAUACUGGAUAUCUUGAGUGCAGUUGAGGCAGGCGGAAUUCGUGGUGUAGCGGUGAAAUGCUUAGAUAUCACGAAGAACUCCGAUUGCGAAGGCAGCCUGCUAAGCUGCAACUGACAUUGAGGCUCGAAAGUGUGGGUAUCAAACAGGAUUAGAUACCCUGGUAGUCCACACGGUAAACGAUGAAUACUCGCUGUUUGCGAUAUACUGCAAGCGGCCAAGCGAAAGCGUUAAGUAUUCCACCUGGGGAGUACGCCGGCAACGGUGAAACUCAAAGGAAUUGACGGGGGCCCGCACAAGCGGAGGAACAUGUGGUUUAAUUCGAUGAUACGCGAGGAACCUUACCCGGGCUUAAAUUGCAGAUGAAUUACGGUGAAAGCCGUAAGCCGCAAGGCAUCUGUGAAGGUACUGCAUGGUUGUCGUCAGCUCGUGCCGUGAGGUGUCGGCUUAAGUGCCAUAACGAGCGCAACCCUUGUUGUCAGUUACUAACAGGUUCCGCUGAGGACUCUGACAAGACUGCCAUCGUAAGAUGUGAGGAAGGUGGGGAUGACGUCAAAUCAGCACGGCCCUUACGUCCGGGGCUACACACGUGUUACAAUGGGGGGUACAGAGGGCCGCUACCACGCGAGUGGAUGCCAAUCCCCAAAACCUCUCUCAGUUCGGACUGGAGUCUGCAACCCGACUCCACGAAGCUGGAUUCGCUAGUAAUCGCGCAUCAGCCACGGCGCGGUGAAUACGUUCCCGGGCCUUGUACACACCGCCCGUCAAGCCAUGGGAGCCGGGGGUACCUGAAGUGCGUAACCGCGAGGAGCGCCCUAGGGUAAAACUGGUGACUGGGGCUAAAU